rnacentral:lncRNA from 1 species
AGUCAAUACCUAAUAGUUUAACUUGUAUAAAAUAAGAGGCUAGCCAUUUGGUAUUUGUGUAUGAAAGCCCCCAAAAUCAAAAUGUUUAUCCAUAGUCAACAAUCUAUUUGGUUUUAUAAAAACGAAAGGGCACGCAUUGGUAAGUGUGUUGGGAUGGAAAAGUAUCUUAAGUUUUAGUAUUUCAAAGCCAGCUUUAAUUUGGAACAGCACCACCAUCCAUAAAUUUCAAAACAAGUUAUCUUGUUUAUGAACUUAUAUGUUAUGAUUUGGUAUUGAGUUGUUAGUGUUACAUAUCAGUUUUCAUUUCCUCUACUAGAAAAUAGGUAAUUGAUAAAUUCUUUGAACAGAAGCAUCACUGCUUAUUAAAAAGUUAGAUAUAUAGAAUGAUUAAAAAUCCAGGUUUUCUAGGAUAUUUUUAUUCACAUAUAUUGAUUAAAUAGGGAAGGAAUUUUAUUCAAAGCUUUAAAGACUAGUCGUCAGUUUUUUUUUUUUUAAACCUCUGUUGUAAUUACAAAAAUACUGGAGAUCUUUUUUGCUAGUUAGGUGAUUGGUUUCAUGUACACAUCUAAAAGCUACUAUAUAGUAUAUUUACUCAAUGCAUUUAUUAAUCUUGUUGCCAGCAAGUCUGACAGCUUGGAAACAAGGGUUUUUUUGUUUUUUAAUAGACUUGAGCUGGUGGCUUACAUGUUCUGUAUUAGUGCUGCUUGAAGUUUUACAUGUUCAGAUCCCUGCUUUUCAGAGGCAAGGAUUAGUCCAUUUAGACUUGGUGACCCCUUUGAGAUUGUAGCAUAUGCUCCCUUAAGUCAGUAUGCUUAAACUUUAAAGUAUCUUACUUCUUAUUUUAAUAGUAAUAUCUUUACAGAUUUUUAGCAAUGUGUUGUAGAAAACACCUGCUCUUAGAAGCACAAGUUUUACUCACUGAGUCACUGUAAACAGAAAACACAGCAGCAUUUAUUUUAUUGCACAUUCAGAGUAAGCUGAAUAUGAAGGUGGUUAAUUCUGUCUGAUACCUGUGAAUUUCCUUUCAGAAUCACUUUAUGUCAAGAGCUAAACGUAAACUUUUUGUUGAAAAUAACAAUUUAUUUUCAUGCUCAUUUCCUAAAAGAUAAAAGCAAUCAAGUGGGAACCCCUUUAUAUGUUUCUUGGUUUCCCUUUUUCAUUAUCGUAAGAUAAUUCUUGUUUAAGAUUUUUGAAUGUUUAGAUAUCAUUAAGGUGAGGUUUUUAUUUGAUAAGUCUGCUGAGUCCUAUACUUGCUAGGAUACCUAUCUUGAUUUUCAAGAGUGGGUAUAAUGGCUUGAAUGCUGUUAAAGGUAAACGGCAUCAGUUGGAAUUUGUGGGACAUUUCCAGGUGGGCUAAAGGGAGGGUAUAGUUCUUAGUUGAAUACUAUUUGGGGUUGCUGGGAGAUCUUGAAUGUAAGAGCAGGUUCUAUAGUUCAUUUAUUCGCUUCAGGAUAUGUCAUUUGCAGAGUUGUGAAUGUAUUUGGUUUAUUUUUGGUAUGGGUUUGCAGAGAGAUGACUGUGCAUUCCUUCUGAUUGUUAUUUUUAUAAUUACUAGAGAUGACUGAAAUAGAAAAAAAGUGUUGUACUGAGUUUGCAAGUGGAGUGUAAGUAUUUUGUGUUGAAAUUUAAAAAAAUAUCUUAAGAGCAUUAGCAGGUGGAAGAAACCAGGUGUUAAAAAUUAAUAAUGCAAAGCU